GGCUGGCUGGCUCUGUCAGUAGAGCAUGUGACUCUUGAUCUCAGGGUAAUGAGUUCAAGUCCCAUGUUGGGUA
rnacentral:tRNA from 1 species